CCUACGGGUGGCAGCAGUGAGGAAUAUUGGUCAAUGGCCGCGAGCCUGAACCAGCCAAGCAGCGUGAAGGAUGACUGUCCUACGGGUUGUAAACUUCUUUUAUAAAGGAAUAAAGUGAGGCUCGUGUGCCUUUUUGUAUGUACUUUAUGAAUAAGCAUCGGCUAACUCCGUGCCGGCAGCCGCGGUAAUACGGAGGAUCCGAGCGUUAUCCGGAUUUAUUGGGUUUAAAGGGAGCGUAGAUGGGUUGUUAAGUCAGUUGGGAAAGUUUGCGGGUCAACCGUAAAAUUGCAAUUGAUACUGGCAGUCUUGAGUACAGGUGAGGUAGGCGGAAUUCGGGGUGUAGCGGUGAAAUGCUUAGAUAUCACGAAGAACUCCGAUUGCGAAGGCAGCUUACUAAACUGCCACUGACAUUGAUGCUCGAAAGUGUGGGUAUCAAACAGGAUUAGAUACCCCUGUAGUC
rnacentral:rRNA from 1 species